AUGAUGUUGAAAAGGAGUCUAAUUCUGGUGCUAGUGCUUAACUGUGCGACGAAAGGCUUAAGUCACCAAGAUAGCUACUUGAGGGAAGCCAAAAAGACCUGUGCUCGAACCUCUGGCGCCUCCUUAUCCUGUCUCAAGUACGAGUUGCUGCUGUUCUUUCAUAAAAUUCUCACAACAAAACAACGGAAUACUCAAGUUGAUUCUUUGAAGUUGGUCAGCCUGCCGCGCCGACUACAAUCCGAUGUGAAUUUUUCACUUUUCCCCUCCACGCCCCCUGCUGAAAGGAGGGACAAGGGGGACACUACUACGUCCUCGGAAUGGGGGAAGUUGGUGGGGUUCCUGGACCGGGAAGCCUCACAAUUUGUGGCGACUCACGGGCUCCAAAUCCCUCUGCCAAACUGGGCCGCUAAUCUACCCCUCCUCUUCUUCAAAGUCUACCAAAGUCCUGCUCACCCCUCUCCACGUUCAGGUUCGGACCCGGACUCAGUCGCAGAGGAUCCAGACCGCCGCGGAUCGACGACCGGAAGCUACAAGAAGUUCUACCUGCUGUUCCCUCUGAUCGCGGUGUUCAAGUUCCUAAUCAUCAAGCUCCUGCUCAUCCCGAUCCUCAUCGGCGUCUUCGCCAUCAAGAAGAUGCUCGUGGCGGCGGCCAUGGCCCUGCCCACCCUCCUCCAGCUCUUCCGCUGCCCCCGCAACCCCCUCGUCCCUGGGGCCCCCGGCGCCGGGGGUCUCCCACCCCUGCCCGCCGGGAACCUGGUGGGCCUCCUCCCGGCCGCCUAUCAGGGCUACACCGCCACUGCCUCGGCCGUCGCUGAGCCUCUGGUCACCGACUACUCCCACUACGGCUACCCCGCGCGUCUUCAUCCACCGCCUCAUGCGCUCUAUGCUCACCCGCACCCCCAUCCCCAUCACGCACAGUGGGAGAACCUUAAAAACUACAAGUCUCACGAGCUUGAUUGA
rnacentral:lncRNA from 1 species